AGCGAACGCUGGCGGCAGGCCUAAUACAUGCAAGUCGAGCGCACCUUCGGGUGAGCGGCGGACGGGUGAGUAACGCGUGGGAACGUGCCCUUUGGUACGGGAUAACUGAGGGAAACUUCAGCUAAUCCCGUAUGUGCCCUACGGGGGAAAGAUUUAUCGCCAUUGGAGCGGCCCGCGUUGGAUUAGGUAGUUGGUGAGGUAAAGGCUCACCAAGCCUACGAUCCAUAGCUGGUCUGAGAGGAUGAUCAGCCACACUGGGACUGAGACACGGCCCAGACUCCUACGGGAGGCAGCAGUAGGGAAUCUUGCGCAAUGGGCGAAAGCCUGACGCAGCCAUGCCGCGUGAAUGAUGAAGGUCUUAGGAUUGUAAAAUUCUUUCACCGGGGAAGAUAAUGACGGUACCCGGAGAAGAGGCCCCGGCUAACUUCGUGCCAGCCGCCGCUGUAAAAC
rnacentral:rRNA from 1 species